rnacentral:miRNA from 1 species
UCUUUAUGUCUUUGAAUGAGG